AACGCAUAUUGCACUCCUUUGGAGUAUGCCUGUUUGAGAAUCUAUAGUAUUCCUUUUCAUGAGUGGUUUAUUCUACUCUAUGAAAGAUAUGAAGUCUCUCUUUAAUUAGAGUACUUUGAAAAUUAUGGCCUCUUUUGUGGUAAAUCACUCUGCAGAACAGUAUUUGAAUGGAACUGUGGUUUCUCCUAAUGCUUAAUACGCAGACUUACCUAUUGAAAAGGGGGUCCAUAACCAUAAAGUCUUUGGACUUGAACCAUGGUCUCAAAUCAGGUAGGAAGACCCGCUGAACUUAA
rnacentral:misc_RNA from 1 species